rnacentral:lncRNA from 1 species
UCCCCCAACUCUCUCUCUCUUUUCUAUUUUCCCCAUCCCGUCAAUCUCUCUCUCCACCCAAGAACGUCUCUCUUUUCUAUUUUUCCCAUCCCGUCUAUCUCUCUCUCCACCCAAGAACGCCGCCCUGCUCCAAAUCUGGCAAACCCUUGAUGGGUUCUCCCUGUUUUUUCCCAUUGUUCUCUGCUAAAUCUGACUCCCCACUCUCAAAAUAACGAGAGAGCUUCCAAUUAUGAGCAGGCCAAUAUCAGGAGAGCAAAUGCUAUGAGGCCAAGCAUACCAACAAGGCCCCCAAACAAAUAAGGCACAUGACAGUGCCAUGGAGAAUGCACUGCUGAAGCAGCCGUGGUAUUAAAGCUAUUAUCAGGACUCAUUUCAGUAGAGAGAAAAAGUAGGGAGAGAGUUUUUCAUAAUAGUAGAGAGAGAAGGGAAAGGAAUUGAACGAGAGAGAGAGAGAGAGGGAGAGAGAGAGAGAGAA